rnacentral:lncRNA from 1 species
AGGUGAUGCCAAUGAUGCUUAGCAGGAGGCUGCCGAGCUUGUAAAGCUCAGUUCAGUUUAGUGUUGGACGGGACAUGAGCGUUUCCUGGAGCAGUUCUGUCUACAGGAACAGCGUAAAUCAUCUUUGCCAUCGUGCCAGGUGAAGACAUAGAAGCUUGGAAGGUUCAUACUCUCAGUGCCAAGACUGGAGCCCAGAAAUUAAACUCCAGAGCAGGGG